UGUACCUUGUUGCUUCGGUGCGCCCGCCUCACGGCCGCCGGGGGGCUUCUGCCCCCGGGUCCGCGCGCACCGGAGACACCAUUGAACUCUGUCUGAAGAUUGCAGUCUGAGCAUAAACUAAAUAAGUUAAAACUUUCAACAACGGAUCUCUUGGUUCCGGCAUCGAUGAAGAACGCAGCGAAAUGCGAUAACUAAUGUGAAUUGCAGAAUUCAGUGAAUCAUCGAGUCUUUGAACGCACAUUGCGCCCCCUGGUAUUCCGGGGGGCAUGCCUGUCCGAGCGUCAUUGCUGCCCUCAAGCACGGCUUGUGUGUUGGGCUCCGUCCCCCCGGGGACGGGUCCGAAAGGCAGCGGCGGCACCGAGUCCGGUCCUCGAGCGUAUGGGGCUUUGUCACCCGCUCUGUAGGCCCGGCCGGCGCCAGCCGACAACCAAUCAUCCUUUUUUCAGGUUGACCUCGGAUCAGGUAGGGAUACCCGCUGAACUUAAGCAUAUC
rnacentral:rRNA from 1 species